UGCCGCAUCCAUUUAAUGUACGAGACAUGUGGCCGAACCUUAUUGUGAGCGGCGCCUUCAGCAAUUGUCGAGGUAAUGAUGAGUUCUCCUUAUAAAAGGAGUGGUUCAUGUUUUUCUUUCUAAAUUUACUUCCUUAAACUAUCAUCUAUUUUCUGCAAAUACUGCCUUUUAUGACCUAAGAAGUUUUGACUUUUUCUUACUCUUUUCAACCCUCAUCAAAAGAUUCUAUAGCCACAACUCUCCUCCAUUUGUGCUGAUAUCACCAUGGAGGAUAAAUCUGCUGCUGCCUCCUUAAGUCUACCGUUGUUUAUGUUGUGUCUCAUCCGGCGAAGAAGAGGAGGACAACCAAGAAGGUUGACCUAGCAUCAAUAUAUAAAUAGAUGAUUUCAGACAUUGUACCGUAGGAAUUGAAAAAUGACACGACUAUAAUGUCAUAGAGAAGACCAAUAAAUAGUGGAGAUCAAAAUGCUCGUGUGUUUACAUAUCCCUCCUUCAACAAGUUUGGGAGGACUGCGGGUGGAAAGAGAGAGAAGAUCUCAUCCUUGGACUUCCCAUGGAGGGCGAGAGGCUCACCAGCAAUCUCACUGGCCAUUCCUUCAUAUGUACAUACCCCUUCACCAUGGGAUUUAAAUUUCCGAUGGAUGACGUUAUUGCUGAGAUCUACAUCUGGUACAAAGUAUUCCUAGCCCAGGUCGGUACCUAGGUUACCAUGGGAGAAUAAUCAACAUAACUCACUAGGGUUUGAUGGCCCUGAUAUCCAAUUGCAGCAAUGACUACAAUUUGAGAUGGUUCGAGAGAUACUUCGUGGUGUAGACCCCGGCUCCCCAAAGAAAUAGAGCCUUAAUUGUAAGGGAUUUUGUUAUUACCCUUUAUUCAUUUUGAAAUUUGCUAUUAAUAUUUUUGUGGCUUGCAGUUGUUGUAGUGGCUCUCGAGGGGGCACCUGAUAUUGGGGAUAGGUAUCUAGGGUUCUAAGCGUUUCCACCAACUUUUUGAGAACCUGGAAGGCCAUUGCAGUUAAACUAUCCCCCUUGAAGCAAACUACCAUGUCUACCUCUAUUCUGUUUUGAGUGCUCUUCUUUUUAUUCUACCUCCCUUUUGUUUUCUUUAAUGUAGCCAAAUUUCUACAUGUUUGGGUCUUGAUAAGGGUCCUCGAUAUCAAGUUCAUCCUCCUGUCGGCCUUCUAGUUUUGGGGGCAGAUGCUUUUUGCAGAAACAAAAAAUUGCUCGUUGAAACACAACAGGAAUGCGCUGCUGACGCUCACAUAGCACCACCUCUAUCUAAGGCUACUAAGAGGAAAAGGACCUCCGAGAAGAGAGUUGCAUGUCCUGGAGUCAAAGGGAGAAGUCCCUGAGAUGUUCCCCGGGAUGUUCAGAAUGGCUCCAUUGAGGAACCUAUGUGCCCCAACCUUGGUUUGGUCAAUUUUGAGGAAAAUGAUCCUCGACCUGUCGCUUUGUCCAGGAAAGAACUGGCGAACUUAACUCAGGCUGAGUGGCUACAGCUUGCCCGAUAUUCCUCAUCUCGGGAAAAAGCCAUAGUGCUUUUAUGGGACCGUGAGGCAUUACCUUCCGAAGUGAAUCCUCCCACAUAAGAGGAGGUCCAGCCAGAGGGUACUGUGAAAAUGACAGCCUCAAUUUUGAAGGGUUUUGAUGCUCAUGCUGCAUGUACUAGUGAACAACAGGUUGCCACUUUCUCCGUGCCCAGUGAGGUUGAUCUUUUCAAAGAUCCCAAACAUAUCACUACCUAUCUCCACGAGUUGGUAGGUCUCAAGGAGUGAGAGAAGAUGGGUACCAUAAACUCGGUGGCGCUGGUGACCCAAAUGGCUUAUGAAGCUACUAUGGGGCCAUGAAAAGAGUCUAAGAGGACAUUGCUAUAGCUAAGGAGGUGGUGAAGUAUGAUCGUGCAUUGAGGGCUGAGAAUGAAUGGCUCAAGAAGGAGAUUGAGGGCCUCAAGAUCGAGAAUGAGGCUUUCUUAGAAAGGACCGAGGUAGAUGAGAGAAGUGCUGAACUAAGGAUGCAAAAAUAUCUUGGUAGCGAGGCGACUCUUAGGUUUGAGCAGAGUAGGACCAAUGAAAGGCUUUCAACCCCCUCAGGUUGAGUUAACCUCGAAAGCAAGCAUAGAGGUUUAGUUGAGGGAAGAGUAUUCCUAGUUAGAGGCUAUCGAGGGAGGAUUAAGAUUUGACUGGAAAGCGACCGAGGAAAGAGCCCAUGUGAGCAACGCCAAUCGGGAGACCCUCUAGGAAGCUUAUGAAGCUCUAAAAAGGAGGAUGGAGUUAGACCGAUACUAGGCUAUUUUGGAGACUCGCUUGAUCGCUCUCACGAGGUACAUAUCAAUUUAGUGGACUAACAACACAAGAUUUAUGUUCUUGAAGGUGAGGAGAGGGAAAUUCGGAGGCAGCUUGAUCACUCAACAUUGAGUCGGAUGAAGACGAUUUCGAGGGCGGAGAUGGUGAAGAAGAGGAGAUUACUUCACAUCCGGAGUCUCCAUCUCCUCCAGUUCCUGCGGCUGCUCCUUAUUCGGAUGUAUCUUCAACCUAUGUUCCUAAAAGUCCACUGUUAGAUCUUAGUUCACGACCUCAAGGUCCCUCUUAGGUACAAAUAGUGAAAGGAUUUGGCCCGAGUAGACAUUUGUCCAAAAAUAAAGUACUAAAAGUGUGCUUGUAAGAAAGUCGAGACAAAGUUCAAAAGAAGAUUGAAUUCUCAUUCCUUCAAGUAAGGGAAGUAAAGGGAGAGUGAGAGUUUUUAGAUGAAGACAAUGUCAGAGCCCUUCUAGUCAGAUAUUUUGACAUUGGCUGGGAACUAUGGUGGGUCUUGAAUAUUGCCAAGAAUUAGUGUCGUCAUCACUCGGGUUGGGCUAGCUUAAUUCCUAUCACUGAAAAAUGUUUAUAAAAAUGAAAUAAAAUAAACUUGUAAUGCAUGCGUCAGGAAGUAGAACCGUUAAUGUUCUUAGAAGUAGAACUGUUUGAUGUAUGUCACGUUCUAGUUUCCCUUCAAGGAUCUGUUAUCCAUCUCCUUGAGCUUGUAUAAUCCUUUGCCUAUUAUCUUGAUGAUCCGGUCAGCUCCUUCCUAGUUGGGCCCGAGAUUCCCACAUUCGGCUCUUGGGGAUACUGAGAAUACAUU